GCCCGCCUAGUUCAAUCGGAUGAACCGUCAGACUAUUAUGCCCCAUUGAGACGUUGGUGAUUUGGGCAAUCUGAAGGCUGCGAGUUCGAGUGGUGGGCU